rnacentral:rRNA from 1 species
GGACCUUAACCAUACACUCAACGGUCAUAGACUCUCUACUAUAGGUCUUUCAGUAGACUUACGUGAGAAAAAUAAAAACACAUCAUCCUUGAUUACCUACUUGGUUCGUUUUUCCCGUAAGUUCUUCUAGUAGUACGUCAAUUAGCACUACGACUAGGGAACGUACGCUAACUUCUAGUAGUGCUCCCGGUCUCUUCGUGUGGGAAAUAACCCAUGGUCGUAACUCCUUCUUUCCUCUAACGACGGUCACCGUUUACAGACAACCUGUAGUUGUCGUUAAGCUCACAAAGGUGUAUACCACUAACUUUAAGACUCUUUCUGUGAUAGCACCUUGUUGGUAGUUUUCGUUUUACAGUUUUCUGGCCUAGAU